CUCCUAUUUGCCAAGUUUUCUGACAAUCAGUUCUUGAAAUCAGGAAAAACGGGUGCCGGUACUCCCCUUGUUAUUCAGUACCAGGUGCCGGUACUCCCCUUGUUAUUCAGUACCAGGUGCCGGUACUCCCCUUGUUAUUCAGUACCAGGUGCCGGUACUCCCCUUGUUAUUCAGUACCAGGUGCCCGUACUC